AGACUGAAUAAGAGAGUUCAGUGGCCGGCCUGGUGGCUCCGCGGGCUGAACCAUCGGGCACUUGUAAAGUUCAGAAAGCGGAUUGACUCCCCCGGAGUCUCUGGAGUUGAAGUCGAGCCCCGAGCCUCCCCGUCAGUCUGAGAUCUAAGCCCCGGGUGUAGCUCUCGUGCUGUCGGGGUGAGUUUGUGGAGGUGGCUGUUCUCUACCACGCCGGCCGUUUUGGGGGGUUCCAUUUUCGGGGCCCUCCAAAACCGGGAAAAAUGGGGGGUUUAAGUCAUUUAUAAAUGCAUAGUUCGGAAUUCAAUUCUAAAAAGCAGCCCCUUAUACCACUGUGACACCUGCAGGACAGGUGUGGCACUAGCAGUGAAAGAGAGGUGCAGUCCUAACUAGGAGCGACAGGGGUCUCUCUCCAGCACAUUUCUCCUGGUUCUAGAGAUCAACCGGCCGCAAGCUGAACGAGUCCGGCGAACAACCAGGGCGAUGUCACUGUAUUCGGGUGUCUGAAAGUCCUCAGCCGUUAUAUACAUUAUAAACGAUUUGGUAAGUUAAGGCUUAUUUUUAUCUUCAGUACCGUGAGUCUUGAGCCCUUGUAACAGAAUCCACAGCUGUCAUUCAGGAGCCGGGCCCGCCCCCAGAGUGACCUUCCUCAGCGGACACGCCCCGUCCACCUGUUCCACAGGUGCGCCCGGCAAGAUGGCGGCAGGGCGAGUGUCUGCGGCGUGAGGUGACAAAAGGAUUUCAAGAACGGGACUCCAGUUUUGGAAAAAUGGUGUUUUCCAAGGACGCCGAAAAGAGUCUCCUGUCCGUUGGAGCGUGCUCUCGAAGUUUUAGAAGCCUGGAUUCAGCUCUCUUAUACCACCUUUCAUGGGACAAAAGGAUUUCAAGAACGGACGUCCACUUAUGAAAGUUUUUUUUUCCAAGUUCUGCGGCUCCUCACGACAUCUCUGCGCUCCGACUAUCUCCUUUCCAGCAACUCGACGAGCGUUGGCAAGUUCUUCUCGACAAUGUGUGCUUUUUCUUACAGUUGAUUUUUGUUACCAGUGGCUUGAUCUGUAAUGUCCCGAUUCAGUGCUGUAUUUUA